CGGCUGAGUAACGCGUGGGUGACGUGCCUAUCGGUGGGGGAAUAACUGCCCGAAAGGGUGGCUAAUACCGCAUACGUCCUGUUCUUCAGUGAGCAGGGGAAAACCGCAAGGUGCCGACGGAGCGGCCCGCGUCCGAUUAGCUAGUUGGUGAGGUUACGGCUUACCAAGGCGACGAUCGGUAGCUGGUCUCAGAGGAUGAUCAGCCAGACUGGGACUGAGACACGGCCCAG
rnacentral:rRNA from 1 species